rnacentral:tRNA from 1 species
CAUGGUUUGCUUUAUUGGUUGAAUGUUGGACUACAAAUCAAAGGAUCGCUGGUUCGAUCCUGAGCCGGCAAAUAAGU